GUGCCGAGGAGAUCCAGAGGGUGGUGCUGUCAGUCAAUGACAAGUGGCACUACUGUCAGAACUCCGACAUCCUGGUGGGCUCCCGGGCCAUGAGGGACCGGCACCUGCGGCUGCUAGGCUACUGUCUGGUGCAGCUGCCUUACACAGAGCUGGAGAAGGUGAGUGGCAUCGAGGAGGCCAAGCACUACCUGCGGCAGAAGCUGAGGGAACUGCGCUUCUGAGGGCCGGAUCCGGGGGGUGUGGGGGGCCAGGUGGGUGCUGCCAGCCCCUUCCCCUGUGCAGGGGGAUACGGAGCUCCCCCCCAUCCUGGGGGGUCAGGGGGAUAUGGAGAUGCUCCCCAUCUUGGGGGGCCAGGCUGUGGGGCCAGGCCACGGGCACCUGCUCCUGCUGUGGGGCUGGGGGAGUGUGAGAUUUGAGAUUAUUUAUUGCCAUUAUGGGGGGCCGGGGUGUG